AAGAGAAAAGAAAAAAAGUGGCACGUGAGAUUAAGGAAGGAAAGAAAGAAAAGAAAAGGAAAAAAAUGAGAAACCAAAACAAAGGACUUCAUCCUCUUCGUUCCUUCAACUCGACGCACCAACUCCUUCACCACCAUUUCCUCCAAUCAAAAAGUUUCGACCACCCAUCUCCACCAAUGAAAAAGCCUUCAACUUGCACGCCUACAACAAUUCGCAGCCACUAACAGCACAGAAGCCCGCAAGUUGCGCCACAAUCAGCGAGUUGAAGGGCGGUUCUAGGGCUAAAUCUUGGAGCCCAAUGCACUUCUCCAAUUGGCCGAAAACAACCUUGUUGGGCGGUGGAAUUUGGGUAUAAAUAACCCAUUGAAGUUCCGAAAUAAGGUAUGCAAGAAUUUCCACAGAAUUUCGAGUGAAAAAAUCAGAGAAUUUCGCGAGGUUUCGAAGCUAAUUUGGAGUGCGCGAGUUCGACGGAGGACAGCCUUGGGUUGGAGUCCUAGCACACAACCGAGGAGAGUGAAGUUCAAGUUCGAUUGUAGACUUUUUAGAUCAAUAGUGCAUUGGCCAUCUACAGGUUUGAAGAUGAUACAUCAUUGGGUUCGAGAUUGAAGAGCUUGUGUAGUUUAUUAUUCUAGUAUCGUACUUUUGUUUACAUACUUUAUAGUUGGGUUGAUUAAAAGUUAACGUGGAUGUUGUUGGUUGACUUAUGAAGUUAACUCUGUUAUUAAUUAAAUUUCAAUUCUAAAGUUAUUUAUUUUGUUUUCC